rnacentral:rRNA from 1 species
UACGAAGGGGGCUAGCGUUGUUCGGAAUUACUGGGCGUAAAGCGCGCGCAGGCGGUCUUCCAAGUCAGUGGUGAAAGCCCGGAGCUCAACUCCGGAACUGCCAUUGAAACUGUUAGACUUGAGGACGAGAGAGGUGAGUGGAAUUCCCAGUGUAGAGGUGAAAUUCGUAGAUAUUGGGAAGAACACCGGUGGCGAAGGCGGCUCACUGGCUCGCAUCUGACGCUCAGGCGCGACAGCGUGGGGAUCAAACAGG